GCGGUCGUGGCGGAAUUGGUAGACGCGCAGCGUUGAGGUCGCUGUGGGGCAGCCCGUGGAAGUUCGAGUCUUCUCGACCGCA
rnacentral:tRNA from 1 species